AGGCCAUAUCAUGUUGAAACACCGGUUCCCGUACGAUCUCGGAAAAGCAACGUGGGCCUGGUCAGUACUUAAAUGGGUGACCGCUUGGGAAUACCAGGUUUUGUAAU